UAUGUAAUAGUUAAUCUUUCUAAAUUUGAAUUGUAGCAUGAAGAGAUCGCGGACGUGUUGCCAGUUGCCAGAGAAUGGCUUCAAAGAAAAAUGGAUACUCCAUGAUUUCAGGAAGAAAUUUAUGCAGACAAAGGUCAAGGUGUAAAAACAAUCAAUAAAAGGCGACAUGGCGACCUCUUUCUCCCUUACCAUGGAUCUAUGAUUUCAAAAGAAAAAGGGGACAGAAGGGAAUAGCAAAGAAGCUCUGGAUUUAGUCGGGUUUUUUUUUGACUGCAGGAAACAGUUCUGUGUGGAUGCAACCGAAGAAAAUGAAUAAUUGGGAGACUGGUAAACCUGGUGAUGUAUGGCAAACAUUCCAAGCAAAACAUGAAAUGUGUUGAUGGCCACCUAUGUCAAUUUUCAAGGCUAAAUAUGGACGGCAAGGCUACAGCGCAAGUCCUUUGUCAGAAGGUCAUGGACAAUUCUGGAAAAGGCUGCAGUACAACAGCAACUAGGGAAACAUCUUUUGCUGAAAAUGUUACCAGGGAAGGCUAAUUGUGAAGAGGUCCUCCAAAAAGAACCAGUGUUGCAUGGCAGAACCUGGAAACAAACUAAGGACCUCAUCUGGAACUGUAAUAUAAAAAGACAGUCAAGGAGAAUUUGCUUGUAUCAGAUCAGGCUGUUAGUGAGACUAUAUAAGAUAUUGCUGCCUAUUGAUUGUGUGUAUCCAAUAUGGUUGUCAGUUGAUUGUGUAUCAGAUAUGGUUGUCACUUUACAGUGUGUAUAAGAUGUGGGUGUCAGUACAGUACUACACUGUGUAUCAGAUAUGGCUGUCAGUUGAUAGUGUGUAUCGGAUAUGGCUGUCAGUUUGCAGUGUAUAUAAGAUGUGGGUGUCAGUACAGUGUGUAUCAGAUAUGGCUGCCAGUUGAUAGUUUGUAUCGGAUAUGGCUGUCAGUUGACUAUAUCAAAUAUGUCUAUCAGUAAAGUGUAUAUCAAGUAUGGCUGUCAAUAAAGUGUGGAUAAGGUAUGGCUGUCAGUUGACAAUGUGUAUUGCAUAUGUGUAACAGAUACUGUGUCAGUAAAGUGUGUAUAAGAUGUGGGUGUCAGCUGAUGGAGUGUAUCAGAUAUGGCUGUCAGUACAGUGUGUAUAAGAUAUGGAUGUCAGUUGCCUAUAUCAGAUGUGGCUGUCAGUACAGUGUGUAUAAGUUAUGGCUGUCAGUUGACUAUAUCACCUGUGGCUGUCAGUUGACAGUGUGUAAAAGAUAUGGCUGUCAGUUGACUAUAUCAAAUGUGGCUAUCAGUACAGUGUUUAUCAGAUAUGGCUGUCAGUUGAUAAUAUGAUAUGUGACUGUCAGUUGACAGUGUGUAUCAGAUAUGGAUGUCAGUUGACUGUGUAUCAGAUAUGGUUGUCACUUUACAGUGUGUAUAAGAUGUGGGUGUCAGUACAGUACUACACUGUGUAUCAGAUAUGGCUGUCAGUUGAUAGUGUGUAUCGGAUAUGGCUGUCAGUUUGCAGUGUAUAUAAGAUGUGGGUGUCAGUACAGUACUACACUGUGUAUCAGAUAUGGCUGUCAGUUGAUAGUGUGUAUCGGAUAUGGCUGUCAGUUGACAGUGUGUAUCGGAUAUGGCUGUCAGUUGACAAUG